GCCUUCUUCUCAGUAAGCUUUAUUCGUAUAUUUAUUUAUGUACUUAUAAACCCAGGGUCACGUAAACAUUUCUCAGGCCCAAAGGGGAGGGGCCAUGAGUGGGAAAAUCUUAGAAAUGCCGGGUGUGGACAAUGGUCUUCAAAACUUAGGAAGCUAGGAACGGAAUCCUGGACUGAUGACAUGACCCCAAGGCCUCCCAACUCCAGGCUCUGAGCCCAAAAGGUGGCCUUCAGUUAAGCCAUCCAACGGCUCUGCGGGCCAUGGGUGACAGGAAGAAAUGCCAGCACCCAAGGUCAUAGUCUGCAGUAGCGGGGACCCCCUGGGCUUUUCGAUUUCCCAGGUCGGUGAUGGGCGACAAGGAGCAGCGAGGCGGUGCCAUCGGAGCCCUGCGGCUGUGUCUGUCUGUAAGAGGAAGGAGAGGAUGCAGAACCAAAGGCCAGAGCCCAGCUUGGGUCACACAGUGGCCCUGCGACCCACGGGACUAGACGCACCCCGGAAAAUGACCGGCUCCCCACACUGCCCCCCACCACCACUGAGGAAGAGCCUGCACGCCGCGGGUAUCCCCGGCAGGGUCCCAGCUCGGAAGGUGGGGUGGGUCACACCUGACACGUCCCCAGGUAACUUGCUGUGCGACCCGUGGUGGCCUCGCACGAGUGGCCCAGGCCCCUGGAGUCCUCGCGCCCGGGCCGGGGUCCCCACCCGUGCUCGCACAGCACCGCUCCGCCCGGCUCGCACAGCGCCAGACACCCUACCCUCCCAAGCCGGGAGUGUCCUCGUCCCCAGCGAUCGCCAGUUGACAAUGGCAGGGUCAGGACCAGCAGCAGGUCCAGGUCCGUCCGCCUAGACCGCGCCAGAGACCUCAGGCCCAGCCACUGCAAGAUCGCUUCAUGUAACCCUCAGACCUGGAAAAGUCUGGAAAAAUCAUUUCUGGCAAGGGAAUCGACGAAGCGACCAAAAGUACUGUGCCCCGUGUGAGGCUCGAACUCACGACCUUCAGAUUAUGAGACUGACGCGCUGCCUACUGCGCUAACGAGGCACCUGGUCGUCGCUUCCGGCCUGAUUCUGAAGACUCUGCUGGAAAUGGCCAGCGCGCAUGCUCAGAGACUUGAGUUUGGUGUCGCUGUGUUCCCAUUCCAGCGACCUGCGGACCUCCGCCUGUCCCUCUGCCCAUCGGCGAACACAACGGCAGGGACCUGGAAACAGCCCAAGUGUCCUCCGAAGGGUCAAGACAUCGACAAGCAACAGGAAUUCGUCAAUCCAGGCUGUGACACACAGCCAGCGGAGACGGCAGAUACAGGUGGCUUUACCACUGGGACUUCUUCCUUCACCAGGCAAGCCAAAGGUCACAGUCUCAGAGAAAAUGGCUAUUUCUUCCCCCACCUAUCCCUCCUCCCAGUGAAACAGCUUGUGUCUUUGCCUCAGCCUCCAACGGCUCUUUCCUUCCCUGUCUGAAACAACCCGGCUCUUUCCUUCCCUGUCUGAAACAACCCGAGGUGGACAACACUAUACUGACCCCCUUGCACUGUAGAUGAGGGAGCUCGAGUCCAGGCCCCUGUUCUACUCGCAACACACAGAGCUUGAUUCUUGAAUGCUGCAUGAUGCAUGUUUGCAUGCAUUUAAGGUGCAAGAAAUGUGUAAGGCUUCCUCCAUCCUCCACGGGAGUUCCUUCAGCUCAGGAGGGAAACAAAUCAACGGCUCCACGGAUGUCCCUGAAAAUGAGCAGAUGCCCCCUUCGUCCCUCCUUCCCUCCCUCCCCCACCACAGCAGAAAAAUAAUGAGAAUCAAUAAACACUGCUCACUGAUAACUCGCAGCGCCAAUGGUAUCAAUUCUCCAAUAAAAAGAUACAAACUCCCAGAACAGAUUCCAAAACAGAAUCCAUCCUCUUGCUGCUUCCAAGAAACACACUGUAGCAUCAAGGCUAGACAUCACAUCAGGUUAAAAUGAUGGAAACAAACAAACAAAAAAUCUCCCGGGGCUAGAUGGUUUUCAAAUAGAAAUCUACCAGAUUUUCAAAGAGUUAACUACAAUACUCCUCAAACUACUCCACAAAAUAGAAACAGAAGGAGCACUGCCUAAUUCGUUUUCCAAGGCUACAGUUAUCCUGUAAAACGAAACCACACAAAGACCAAACAAAGAAUUGCAGGCCAAUUUCCCUUAUGAACAUAGAUGAAAAAUAUUCAACAAAAUACCUGCAAACCAAAUCCAAUAACGCGUCAAAAAGUUCAUGCAAUGAUCAAAUAGGUUUCAGCCCAGAGAUUCAGGAAAGGUCCAACAUACGUAAAUAGAUAAAUAUAACCCACCAUAUAAAAAGACUGAAAGACAAAAACCACUUGAUCAUCUCAUUAGAUGGGGGCGCGGGGUCCUUUGACAAAAUCCAAAAACCCCUUCAUAAUAAAAGUCCUGGAGAGACUAUGGAUGCAAUUGACAUCAAGGCCAUAGCCAUCGUCAAUUUAAGUGGAGAGAAUUCUCAAAGCAUGAGGUUCCUUUGCACGAUUCCUCCCUUCUAACUCAGCUGUGCCGUUCUCAAGUGUGAACUCUGUAGAUGACAACACAGUAUCCCAGCGUCAAAAAGGAUGGACAUGCCCGCAGGGCACUGUAGUCAGAUUUUUCUUUGGGCCACCAGCUCACAAAUAACAACAUGGAGAGUAGCAGAAGCCCAAGAGACCAACCAGAUCAUGCCAGAUCUUUAGAGGAUAAAGGGGAUUUGUUGGAGUGGCUCACAGGCUGUGGUCCAGCUAAUCCAACAAUGGCUGUCUACCAACGGAAGGUCCAAGAAGCCAGCAGCUCAGUCCAUGAGGCUGGAUGUCUCAGCUGCUCCUCAGAAGAUGCUGGAAUCCCGAAGAAGUAGUCUCUCAUGCCAUGAAGGAAUGGGUUUGCCGGUGAGAGGGAGAGCAAGAGCUUCCUCCUCCGAUGCCCGUUACAUAGGCUGCCAGAGGUCCAGAUGACAGACACCCCAAAAGAUCUGGGUUAAAGGUGAGUCUUCCCACUUCACACCCCACGGGGGUGCCCAGCUGCUUGGGUUUUAGUUCAUUCCAGUUGUAGUCAAGUUGACAACCAAAACUAGCCUUUGAAGGGACCAGCUUCCCUUUUGGCAGCAAUAACGGCAGAACACGUGCUUCUAUGACCUUGUCCUAGACACUAGAAAGUCA
ensembl:lncRNA